rnacentral:misc_RNA from 1 species
GAUGAAGAACGUAGCGAAAUGCGAUAAGUAAUGUGAAUUGCAGAAUUCAGUGAAUCAUCGAGUCUUUGAACGCACAUUGCGCCCCCUGGUAUUCCGGGGGGCAUGCCUGUCCGAGCGUCAUUGCUGCCCUCAAGCACGGCUUGUGUGUUGGGCUCCGUCCCCCCGGGGACGGGCCCGAAAGGCAGCGGCGGCACCGAGUCCGGUCCUCGAGCGUAUGGGGCUUUGUCACCCGCUCUGUAGGCCCGGCCGGCGCCAGCCGACAACCCAUCAUCCUUUUCAGGUUGACCUCGGAUCAGGUAGGGAUACCCGCUGAACUUAAGCAUAUCAUAAGCGGAGGA